AUGCUGUUGAAGGGUGCACGCACCCGCCAGAUGCCGCCAGAGCAAUCUGCUCCUCCUGCCCGCAGGCGGCGCUGUGGGGGCCGAGUCCACGCGCUGGAAAGGCAACGUUCCCAGGAUGCCCUGCGUAUCUCCAUGGCGACGGCUGCCGCGGGGCGGGGACUGCGGGGCGGGCUGCCGGGCGCAGGCCCUGCCCCCGGAGCGGCUCUUAGACCGCCGGGACCUCCCCAGCCGCACUACGCCGGCACGCCCCGGGGAAGGGGCGACGCUCGCCGUGGCUCCCCACAGAAGCAGGACCGGCGGCCCAGCCCGGGGUCUUGGACUACGCGGACGCUGGACAGUGCUUGCCACUGGAUGUCCAGCUGUGCCCGGAUGCACGCAGGCCUCUGCUGGCUUUCCCAGGAAUGAGGACUGACUUCCUGCCACCAGCCACACUCUCUGUCCAGAAUCCUCCACGACAUUUUCCUCGCUCUUUCUGUGGCCCUUGAGAAGACUGACCCAUGCCUCCAUGUUGAGUACAGCCCAACACUGUUUCUGGGAUUCCUUUCCAACCUGUGACCUCUCAGAAGCCCUGGGUUUAUAUUUCUGGAUUGUCUAUAGCUGAAUGGGUUUUCAAGACAAGUCUGUACGGUUUCACAGGCCAGAAGAUGGGUCCUGGCGCCCAUGGUGGGUGCUGUGAGCCAAGUCGGGGUCCAGAGAGUAGAGGGUCUGGAGGCUGCACCCCCGAAUGGUUUCAAUUCAACAAAUGAAGUGCCAGGUAUGAUAGAACAUCAUUCUCUUAGCGGAGGGCUCAGAAAUACGGGGAGACACAGCCCGAGGACUUCCAGGCCAGCCCGGGGAGCAGAGGGUGUGAGACUGUCAGAGGGCUGCAUGCAAGCCCUCUGUGGAGGGUGGUGGAAGGUCCAGGGACAGAUAAUGGACAUGUAGGAAGAGGUGGACCUUCGUGGAAGGCAGGUGCAGGAAGUAGAACUUCCAUGGGUGGGAUAGAUGAUUGAGUUGAAAGAUUUGCUUCAAAACCAUCCAGCUAACCAUAGUAGAACCUAAAGAUGCUGGAUGAAAAUCGGUUGGUCCCACUCAUAUUGCAUUGGAUGACUCUUUGGGGAAACAUGACCUUCUCUGUUACUAUGUGUUUUGAUGAAUUAUUUCCUUUAUUGCAUGUUUGUCUGCGGAACACUCACCCUGAGCCAGAUCCUGCUCCAGGCCUUAGGGGCACAUAAGUGGAUAAAACAAGACUUACAUGCUUUCUCAAGAUGUGGAUUCCAAGAGGGAAGUAGAUAUGUAAAUAAAAGGUAAUAUAAAAAUAUCUUUGAGGGAGAC
rnacentral:lncRNA from 1 species